rnacentral:rRNA from 1 species
GAUGAACGCUGGCGGCGUGCCUAAUACAUGCAAGUCGAGCGAACAGACGAGGAGCUUGCUCCUCUGACGUUAGCGGCGGACGGGUGAGUAACACGUGGAUAACCUACCUAUAAGACUGGGAUAACUUCGGGAAACCGGAGCUAAUACCGGAUAAUAUAUUGAACCGCAUGGUUCAAUAGUGAAAGACGGUUUUGCUGUCACUUAUAGAUGGAUCCGCGCCGCAUUAGCUAGUUGGUAAGGUAACGGCUUACCAAGGCAACGAUGCGUAGCCGACCUGAGAGGGUGGUCGGCCACACUGGAACUGAGACACGGUCCAGACUCCUACGGGAGGCAGCAGUAGGGAAUCUUCCGCAAUGGGCGAAAGCCUGACGGAGCAACGCCGCGUGAGGGAUGAAGGUCUUCGGAUCGUAAAACUCUGUUAUUAGGGAAGAACAAAUGUGUAAGUAACUAUGCACGUCUUGACGGUACCUAAUCAGAAAGCCACGGCUAACUACGUG